rnacentral:tRNA from 1 species
GUGCGUGUAGCUCAACGGCAGAGCAGUCGGCUUAUAUCCGACCGGUUCUAGGUUCGAAUCCUAGCACGCGCACUA